ACACCGUUGGUGAAGUGGUUAUCAUGCUUGCCUUCCAUUGUUCAAUAAUGAAGCAAGCGGCUCGGGUUCGAUUCCCGAACGGUGUA